CGUAGCUGGUCUGAGAGGAUGAUCAGCCACACUGGGACUGAGNCACGGCCCAGACUCCUACGGGAGGCAGCAGUAGGGAAUCUUGGACAAUGGGCGAAAGCCUGAUCCAGCCAUGCCGCGUGAGUGAAGAAGGCCUUAGGGUUGUAAAGCUCUUUUGGCGGGGACGAUAAUGACGGUACCCGCAGAAUAAGCCCCGGCUAACUUCGUGCCAGCAGCCGCGGUAAUACGAAGGGGGCUAGCGUUGUUCGGAAUUACUGGGCGUAAAGCGCACGCAGGCGGAUUGAUUAGUCGGGGGUGAAAUCCCGGGGCUCAACCUCGGAAUUGCCUUCGAUACUGUCAGUCUUGAGUCCGGGAGAGGUGAGUGGAAUUCCUAGUGUAGAGGUGAAAUUCGUAGAUAUUAGGAAGAACACCAGUGGCGAAGGCGGCUCACUGGCCCGGUACUGACGCUCAUGUGCGAAAGCGUGGGGAGCAAACAGGAUUAGAUA
rnacentral:rRNA from 1 species